UACAGAGGUCUCAAGCGUUAAUCGGAAUUACUGGGCUUAAAGGGUGCGUAGGCGGACUCGCAAGUGCUUUGUGAAAUCCCACGGCUCAACCAUGGAAUUGCUUGGCAGACUGCGGGUCUUGAGGUUGGUAGGGGUCGCCGGAACUCUAGGUGGAGCGGUGAAAUGCGUAGAUAUCUAGAGGAACGCCAAAGGUGAAGACAGGCGACUGGGCCAAAUCUGACGCUGAGGCACGAAAGCGUGGGGAGCGAACGGG
rnacentral:rRNA from 1 species